NNNNNNNNNNNNNNNNNNNNNNNNNNNNNNNNNNNNNNNNNNNNNNNNNNNNNNNNNNNNNNNNNNUGGGCUGGAGACUUAUACCAUUAGGUAAAUCCCCAAGUAUUCAUACAGAAAGACUCACCCUGCAAGAACAUGCUGUCCCCACUCAGAGAACCUUCUGGGUAUUGCAAAUUUUGCAAAAAAUUCAAAGCAUGCAGGAGAGAGAAGUUUUACAUCACCUCGAACAAUAGCGAGUGGCAAUGGAACACCUGUCUAAUGAACCUGGCUUUCAUUCCAGCGGCAGCCAUAGCAGCGAAACUUUUCAAGAUGACUUCCUAAAAUGAUGUUUGCUGAUGUUGCUUAUGAUUUUGGUGAUAAAUGAAGAAAACUUGUAUUUUUCUGGGAAGAAUUAUCCUCUAACUCUUGGAUUAAGAGCUGUCACUGACUGGGGAAUUGGCAGGAGGCAGAAGAACAAGCCUGGAAGUCAACGAUCCAGAGACGCUUCCCACCUCAUAAGAAGUCACAGAACAAAGCAAUGGUUGCUUAGAGUGAUGGAUCCAAUGCACAUGUAGUUAUGGAAAUGACAGAGAAAAUUCCAUAUGUCCCCCAUGAGAAAAUACUUCUCUUCUCAAAGGUGAGCUCAAGGACAGAGGUCCUGUCUUAAAACCUUCACAUCUCUGGCACCUAACUGUAAACAAAUGCCUCCUGUUGACCAGGACUGCGGCAAGGGACUUACCAGUUCUCACUGAAUUCCUCUCACAGCCUGAGAGGUAGGCAGCAUUGGACUCACUGAAGAGCCACAUAUUUCUGUGUGGUUAAAUAGAAAGUGGCAGAAUGAGAAGACAUGUUCAGGUCUGUUUGAAUACAAGGCCUUAACAGGUAUGAGGCAGGCCAGCAUUGUGGGCUCUGGAGCAAGGCUGCCUGAGCUGGAAUCCUGACUCUGUCAUUCACUAGCUGUGUGACCUUAGGCCAGUCACUUCAUCUUUCUGCUUCUCCAUCCCCAAGGUGUAAAAUGGGUAUGAUAAUCCUUGCCUCAUAGAGCUGAUACCAGCUUAAAGAAGCAUACAAUAUGCCUGGCAAAUACCAAUGGUUUGAGAACUUUUAGCUAAAAUAACUAUUACUAGGAUUAUUGCAAUACCAUCCUUCUCUAAGGUUUUUAUAUUUUAGUCUGAGGGUACUGGACUUAAUAAAUGGGAGGCAGCUAGAACUCUGAAAACAGAACAUGCAGAAUAUCAAAGAUAAAAUUACUGCUUGGCCUCCCCUAUUAACCCUUAAUAUCUUUCCUUUAAUUAUGUUUGGGUCUUGCUCUGUUUCAUUUGAGUCCUUCCCUAGAAAGAGACAGAAUGCACUAAAACUCUUUCUGGGUAAUAGUUUUGACACUAAACAAUAUGUCUGCCUAUAAGAAGUCAUAAUGCAUGGAAAAUUUCAUUUUAAGAGUAUAACUGAUCCACCAAAGGAAAAGCACAGCAGCGAUACCUAUUUGUUAACAUUUUUUGGAUUUCUGUUUCCCAAGAUAAAUACAUAACUCUGAAUAUUUUAAUCCAUUAAUAUUUUAAUUUUAUAAGAUGCUGAAUAAAUUAUGUAUUUUCUAUACAGAGAAGCUUGUAGAAUCCAAUACAUUCAAUUUAAUUUUUUUCCCUUAAGUAAUGGUUGGGUAAGAUUAAAAUGAAAAUGUCCUUUUCUUUUAGGAAAAGUAGAAAUUUAUACUUAUUGUAACUUCGUGCUUGGCCGAAUUAAUUUUGUCCUUCAAGUUCACUACUCAGUGGUAAAUCUAGAGACACAUGGUGUUGAUCAUUUCUUUUAGGAUUUACAACUGUUCUGUGGGCGUGGUUGGGUAUUAAGAGAAUGUGGGGGCAGUGAGAUAGGUUGCUAUAUUUACAUAUUUUGUUUCUUUCAUUUGAAACACAUUUUUAGAAGUGUACAGAUAUGUUGUACUUUUACAAGAUAUGAAAGGUAUUCUUUAUAUCCAGAAAAAGUAUGUUGGGGAAAAUCAGAACCAGGUAUUGCUUUUUAAAAUGAGUUUUAGAAAUUUCCUUGUGGCUCCAGUAGGUUUCUCCAUUCUAAAGUUACUCCUCUUCCUCCUGGAAGAAAGGAAAUCAAUAUGCACAGUCCAUACUUAAUGGGUGGGAUGUUAGACUUGACCUC
ensembl:lincRNA